GUGACAUUUUUACAAAACAAAGAGAGUAUAAUAAUGGAGAAAUUCUAAUUAUAUCACAAACUUUAUAUAUAUUUCAAAUUUACUUUUAAAGGAUGACAAUUUCAUAAUAUCUUGAAUUUGUGAUAGAAGACUAUACUAACCCUCUUGAAUCAUUUAUAAAUGUUUAAAAAUUAUUUAUAAAAGUUUAUAAACUCAACUUUGCCUCUUAAAUACUAAAUCCUAAACAAAAAAAAGUUUGAGAUACCAUAAGUUGGAUAUCAUUUUUCAAAAAUACACGCAAUCAAAAAUAGUCUAACAUUUGUGUUUAGGGUUCAUUAUUAGAAUUUAGUAUUUAUGGGGUGGAUUUAAGUUUAUAAAUAAUUCUUAAAUAUUUAUAAAUGAUUUAAGAGGGUAGUUUAGGAUAUUUACGAAAUGAUCAUUCUUUAAAGAUAAAUUUCAAAAGUGGUAUCAAAUUUAUGGAAAAAUUAGAAUUUCCCUAAAAAAUAAUCACAUAACUCUAAUUCCAAAUGUUAGAGCUAUUUUUGAUUGAAUAUUAUUUUUUUUUUAAAUAGUAGUAAUUUUAUGAGGUAUUUUAAGCAAUUUUUCUAUAAUAAUAGAGAUACAUACACAUUUUUAAGAAGCUAAACUUAAAAUGAGAUAAGUUUCAAAAACAUAUGCCUCAUUUUAAUAGACGGUUGAUCAACGUCAGUUAAUCUUCUCGACUACUUUCUAA
rnacentral:lncRNA from 1 species